AGUGAACGCUGGCGGUAGGCCUAACACAUGCAAGUCGAACGGCAGCACAGUAAGAGCUUGCUCUUACGGGUGGCGAGUGGCGGACGGGUGAGGAAUACAUCGGAAUCUACUUUUUCGUGGGGGAUAACGUAGGGAAACUUACGCUAAUACCGCAUACGACCUACGGGUGAAAGCAGUGGAUCUUCGGACCUUGCGCGAUUGAAUGAGCCGAUGUCGGAUUAGCUAGUUGGCGGGGUAAAGGCCCACCAAGGCGACGAUCCGUAGCUGGUCUGAGAGGAUGAUCAGCCACACUGGAACUGAGACACGGUCCAGACUCCUACGGGAGGCAGCAGUGGGGAAUAUUGGACAGUGGGGGCAAGCCUGAUCCAGCCAUACCGCGUGGGUGAAGAAGGCCUUCGGGUUGUAAAGCCCUUUUGUUGGGAAAGAAAAGCAGCAGGUUAAUACCCCGCUGUUCUGACGGUACCCAAAGAAUAAGCACCGGCUAACUUCGUG
rnacentral:rRNA from 1 species